GACGAACGCUGGCGGCGUGCUUAACACAUGCAAGUCGAACGGAAAGGCCUCUUUCGUGUGGUACUCGAGUGGCGAACGGGUGAGUAACACAUGAGUAUACUGCCCUUGACUUUGUGAUAACUUCAGGAAACUGGGGCUAAUACCGGAGAUGAGCGCCUGCUGCAUGUUGGGGGUUGUGGAGUUUCGGGGGUUGGGGGUUGACUCGCGGCUCAUAAGCUUGUUGGUGGGGGGUUGGGUUAACAAGGGUUUGGCGGGUAGCCGGCCUGGGAGGGGGGCCGGGCACAUUGGGAAUGAGAUACGGCCCAGACUCCUAAGGGAGGCAGGAAGGGGGAAUAUUGCACAAUGGGUGGAAGCCCGAUGGAGCAAAGCCGGGGUCGGGAUGACGGCCUUUGGGGUGGAAAACGGUUUCGCUUAUGACGAAGCUUUGUGUGACGGUAAUGGGUAAAGAAGCACCGGCUAACUACGUG
rnacentral:rRNA from 1 species